AUUGAACGCUGGCGGCACGCCUUACACAUGCAAGUCGAACGGCAGCACGGGUGCUUGCACCUGGUGGCGAGUGGCGAACGGGUGAGUAAUAUAUCGGAACAUACCCUAGAGUGGGGGAUAACGUAGCGAAAGUUACGCUAAUACCGCAUACGAACUAAGGUUGAAAGUGGGGGAUCGCAAGACCUCAUGCUCAUGGAGUGGCCGAUAUCUGAUUAGCUAGUUGGUGAGGUAAAGGCUCACCAAGGCGACGAUCAGUAGCUGGUUUGAGAGAACGACCAGCAACACUGGAACUGAGACACGGUCCAGACUCCUACGGGAGGCAGCAGUGGGGAAUUUUGGACAAUGGGGGCAACCCUGAUCCAGCAAUGCCGCGUGAGUGAAGAAGGCCCUCGGGUUGUAAAGCUCUUUUGUCAGGGAAGAAACGGUCUACUCUAAUACAGUGGGCUAAUGACGGUACCUGAAGAAUAAGCACCGGCUAACUACGUGCCAGCCGCCGCAGUAAAAC
rnacentral:rRNA from 1 species